rnacentral:lncRNA from 1 species
AACAAGGCACAUUUCAACUUUAUUUUUUCACAUAGGUUCCUUGACCAAGAUAUAAACAGUAUCACAAGGAUCCAUGAAUGAAAUGCUUACAUUAUUGAACCAUGAAUGAUUGCACAGCCUUAGAACACACAGGACCGAAGAAUAGUUGAAAUCAAAGGUCAAAUCAAGGUGAAAGCAUAGAUGCCGGUUACUUAUGCAGGUCUGCCGAUCGGUGGAUUGGAUUGCAAUUGCAACUCAGCAAUAC